GAUGAACGCUGGCGGCGUGCCUAAUACAUGCAAGUCGAGCGAACGGACGAGAAGCUUGCUUCUCUGAUGUUAGCGGCGGACGGGUGAGUAACACGUGGAUAACCUACCUAUAAGACUGGGAUAACUUCGGGAAACCGGAGCUAAUACCGGAUAAUAUUUUGAACCGCAUGGUUCAAAAGUGAAAGACGGUCUUGCUGUCACUUAUAGAUGGAUCCGCGCUGCAUUAGCUAGUUGGUAAGGUAACGGCUUAUCAAGGCAACGAUGCAUAGCCGAGCUGAGAGGGUGAUCGGCCACACUGGAACUUAGACACGGUCCAGACUCCUACGGGAGGCAGCAGUAGGGAAUCUGCCGCAAUGGGCGAAAGCCUGACGGAGCAACGCCGCGUGAGUGAUGAAGGUCUUCGGAGCGUAAAACUCUGUUAUUAGGGAAGAACAUAUUUGUAAGUAACUGUGCACAGCUUGACGGUACCUAAUCAGAAAGCCACGGCUAACUACGUG
rnacentral:rRNA from 1 species